rnacentral:rRNA from 1 species
AGAGUUUGAUUAUGGCUCAGGAUGAACGCUAGCUACAGGCUUAACACAUGCAAGUCGAGGGGCAGCAUUGGAGUAGCAAUACUCAGAUGGCGACCGGCGCACGGGUGAGUAACACGUAUCCAACCUGCCGCUUACUCGGGGAUAGCCUUUCGAAAGAAAGAUUAAUACCCGAUGGUAUAAAGAGUUCGCAUGUUCUCUUUAUUAAAGAAUUUCGGUAAGCGAUGGGGAUGCGUUCCAUUAGAUAGUUGGCGGGGUAACGGCCCACCGAGUCUACGAUGGAUAGGGGUUCUGAGAGGAAGGUCCCCCACAUUGGAACUGAGACACGGUCCAAACUCCUACGGGAGGCAGCAGUGAGGAAUAUUGGUCAAUGGACGAGAGUCUGAACCAGCCAAAGUAGCGUGAAGGAUGACUGCCCUAUGGGUUGUAAACUUCUUUUAUAAGGGAAUAAAGUGAGGGACGUGUCCCUUUUUGUAUGUACCUUAUGAAUAAGGAUCGGCUAACUCCGUGCCAGCCGCCGC